rnacentral:tRNA from 1 species
GGAGCCGUGUCAGAGUGGUCUAACGUACCUCUUUGCUAAAGAGGCAGGGAGUAAAAUCCCUCGCGAGUUCGAAUCUCGCCGGCUCCG